AUGCACGCUGGCGGCGUGCCUAAUACAUGCAAGUCGAGCGAACAGACGAGGAGCUUGCUCCUCUGACGUUAGCGGCGGACGGGUGAGUAACACGUGGAUAACCUACCUAUAAGACUGGGAUAACUUCGGGAAACCGGAGCUAAUACCGGAUAAUAUAUUGAACCGCAUGGUUCAAUAGUGAAAGACGGUUUUGCUGUCACUUAUAGAUGGAUCCGCGCCGCAUUAGCUAGUUGGUAAGGUAACGGCUUACCAAGGCAACGAUGCGUAGCCGACCUGAGAGGGUGAUCGGCCACACUGGAACUGAGACACGGUCCAGACUCCUACGGGAGGCAGCAGUAGGGAAUCUUCCGCAAUGGGCGAAAGCCUGACGGAGCAACGCCGCGUGAGUGAUGAAGGUCUUCGGAUCGUAAAACUCUGCUAUUAGGGAAGAACAAAUGUGUAAGUAACUAUGCACGUCUUGACGGUACCUAAUCAGAAAGCCACGGCUAACUACGUG
rnacentral:rRNA from 1 species